UACGGGGGGAGCAAGCGUUGUUCGGAUUUACUGGGCGUAAAGGGCGCGUAGGCGGUCAGCACAAGUCAGUUGUGAAAUCUCCGGGCUUAACUCGGAAAGGUCAACUGAUACUGUGCGACUAGAGUGCAGAAGGGGCAACUGGAAUUCUCGGUGUAGCGGUGAAAUGCGUAGAUAUCUGGAGGAACACCGGUGGCGAAGGCGGCGUUCUGGACUGCAACUGACACUGAGAGACGAAAGCCAGGGGAGCAAACGGG
rnacentral:rRNA from 1 species